AUUGAACGCUGGCGGCAGGCCUAACACAUGCCAGUCGAGCGGAUGAAGGGAGCUUGCUCCUGGAUUCAGCGGCGGACGGGUGAGUAAUGCCUAGGAAUCUGCCUGGUAGUGGGGGAUAACGUCCGGAAACGGGCGCUAAUACCGCAUACGUCCUGAGGGAGAAAGUGGGGGAUCUUCGGACCUCACGCUAUCAGAUGAGCCUAGGUCGGAUUAGCUAGUUGGUGGGGUAAAGGCCUACCAAGGCGACGAUCCGUAACUGGUCUGAGAGGAUGAUCAGUCACACUGGAACUGAGACACGGUCCAGACUCCUACGGGAGGCAGCAGUGGGGAAUAUUGGACAAUGGGCGAAAGCCUGAUCCAGCCAUGCCGCGGGUGUGAAGAAGGUCUUCGGAUUGUAAAGCACUUUAAGUUGGGAGGAAGGGCAGUAAGUUAAUACCUUGCUGUUUUGACGUUACCAACAGAAUAAGCACCGGCUAACUUCGUG
rnacentral:rRNA from 1 species